rnacentral:tRNA from 1 species
UGGGGCGUUAGCUCAAUUGGCAGAGCGCCGCCUUUGCAAGGCGGAGGUUAUCGGUUCAACUCCGAUACGCUCCAU